rnacentral:lncRNA from 1 species
AAAGCAUCUUCAUUCAUCAUAUGUACAUAGGUAUGUAUUUCUGAUGUGGUACUGUCCAUCUGACUUGACUUAUUUGUUUUUUAAGGAUUUUUACUCUGUUCCACGAACUAUUCUACCUCAUGGUGCCUCAUUUCAUGGACAUCUUUUAACUCUUAAUGUUACCUAUGAGUCUACCAAAGAUACCUUCACUGUCGAGGCUCACAGUAAUGAAACCAUAGGGAGUGUCCGGUGGAAAAUAGCCAAGCAGUUGUGCUCUCCUAUGGAUAAUAUACAGAUAUUUACAAAUGAUAGCCUGCUGACAGUGAAUAAAGAUCAAAAGCUGCUCCACCAACUGGGCUUUUCUGAUGAACAGAUCCUUACAGUGAAGACUUCUGGCAGUGGGACCCCAUCUGGGAGUUCAGCAGAUUCUUCAACCAGCUCCAGCAGCAGCAGCAGUGGGGUUUUUAGUUCUUCAUACGCCAUGGAGCAGGAGAAAUCCCUCCCUGGCGUAGUGAUGGCUCUCGUAUGUAAUGUAUUUGACAUGCUUUAUCAGCUCGCCAAUCUGGAAGAGCCAAGGAUAACUCUACGAGUACGGAAGCUUCUGCUCUUGAUACCUACUGAUCCAGCCAUUCAGGAAGCCCUUGAUCAACUUGAUUCUUUAGGAAGAAAGGUAUGAGUAUUUUUGAUAGUUAUUUAACUAGCAUUACAAUUUUAUAUCACAAUUCAGUGAGUGAAAAUGCAACCUGAAAUCACAUCAAGGUCAUAUGAUAUCAUCUUUGCCAUACUGUUUUUUCUUCUUUUGAAAAAUACCUUUGCCAGCCCAGUGCAGUGACUCACUCCUGUAAUCCCAACAAUUUGGGAGGCCGAGGUUGGAGGAUGGUUUAAGCCCCAGAGUUCAAGACCAACCUGGACAAUGUAGGGUGACCCCAUCUCUACAAAUUAAAAAAUUACCCUGGUGUGAUGACAUGUACCUGUAGUCCCAGCUACUCAGGAGGCUGAGGUGGGAGGAUAGCUUGAACCCAAGAGGUCGAGGCUGCAGUGAGCCAAGAUUAUACAUGCACUCCAGCCUGGGCAACAAAGUAAGACCCUGUCUCAAAAAAAGAAAAGAAAAGAAAGAAAGAAAUACCUUUGCCAUAAAUGGAAAUCAGAACUUAAUGUUGGCUUUUAAAGUGCCUAUAUAAAAGUCAAUAAUGACAUCAGGUUUCAGAACUGGAAAGAACCUUUAAUAUCAUCUACCUUUCCACCUCCUCAUGUUAUAAGGAAACCAAAGCUCAAAGAGAUGAAGUUACUUGUCCCAGAUCAGACUCUAGUUGUGAUUCAGCUGAGAAGUUUUUCAUUAGCUAUGAUGCCUCUUUGAAUCUGAUUGUUGCCUGUGUCUGAGUUGCUUAUAUAAAUGGAUUACCAUUUAAUUUUUUCACAGUUGAUAUUUAAAGUUCAUUUGUGUUAAUUGUUAGAAUGUGGUUCCUUAAGAGAUUUAUCUACAUAUUAAUAUUGUCUUAUCUAUAAUACUGUUUAAUUGUGUUCUCAGAAUAAAUUCAUGUAGAAAAAGUUGUUAGAACUGUAUUUUCUAUUUUAUAAUUUAGUGUUAGAAAUUUAGGUCAGCUCAGUCAUGUCAUUUAUUGCUUAUAAAUUAAUUUGAAGGAUAAGCGAACUAAUGUAAUUAUAAAAUAUAUCACUAGUAUUAGCUUAACACAUUUUUCAAGCCCACCACUUUAGCAGUCUUAUAAUUUUAUUAUCAAUAUUUAGAGAUACAAAUUUUAAACACAGAAACAAAUUAAAAUGACCUUCUCAGUGUUGCUUAGAAUACAUGCUCAGAAG